rnacentral:rRNA from 1 species
CCUACGGGUGGCAGCAGUGGGGAAUAUUGCACAAUGGGGGAAACCCUGAUGCAGCGACGCCGCGUGAGUGAAGAAGUAUUUCGGUAUGUAAAGCUCUAUCAGCAGGGAAGAAAUAGCGACCUUUGGGUCGCCAGACGGUACCUGAUUAAGAAGCCCCGGCUAACUACGUGCCAGCCGCCGCGGUAAUACGUAGGGGGCAAGCGUUAUCCGGAUUUACUGGGUGGAAAGGGAGCGUAGAUGGCAGCGCAAGUCUGAAGUGAAAUGCCGGGGCUUAACCCCGGAACUGCGUUGGAAACUGUGCAGCUAGAGUGCAGGAGAGGUAAGUGGAAUUCCUAGUGUAGCGGUGAAAUGCGUAGAUAUUAGGAGGAACACCAGUGGCGAAGGCGGCUUACUGGACUGUAACUGACGUUGAGGCUCGAAAGCGUGGGGAGCAAACAGGAGUAGAUACCCGUGUAGUC